rnacentral:rRNA from 1 species
UACGUAGGGGGCAAGCGUUGUCCGGAUUUACUGGGCGUAAAGAGCGUGUAGGCGGCCAAGCAGGUCCGUUGUGAAAACUGGAGGCUUAACCUCCAGACGUCGACGGAAACCGCGUGGCUAGAGUCCGGAAGGAGGAGAGUGGUAACUUCGUGGAUGUGAGCGGUGAAAUGACGCAGAUAUCAGGAAGAACACCAAUGGCGAAGCGCUCUCUGGGACGGUACUGACGCUGAGACGCGAAAGCGUGGGGAGCGAACGG